rnacentral:misc_RNA from 1 species
UUUUUCGAAAGCGUGCUAAUCCCUAUGUUGUGCGGAGCUGAGUAUCUUCUAUUCGCUGGGAUAAAGCUUUUCCUCUGCAGGGGCCUUGUGCAGUAAACCCCCUACGGGCGGUCGUCCGUCGUCGUAAAGUAGUCGCCGCGAAGCUUUCGGGAAGAGGGGUAGUCUUGUGUGUAAGCAUAGCAUUUCUGGUCGAACCCGCCCAACCCAACAAAGAAGAACCGAACCUGACAGACACAUCUUUUUCCUUUUGGGAGGGUACUCCGAGUAGUGGGUACCUCGUAGGACCUCGACCCGCCUACUCGGGUCUUGUAUGGAUAUGCAGGAAGGGGUGCUCCUAGGUAGGUGUAGGGGUUGUGUGUGU